rnacentral:rRNA from 1 species
UACGGGGGGGGGGGCAAGCUUGUUCGGAAUUACUGGGCGUAAAGGGCUCGUAGGUGGCCAACUAAGUCAGACGUGAAAAUCCCCUCGGCUUAACCGGGGGAACUGCGUCUGAUACUGGAUGGCUUUGAGUUCGGGGAGAGGGAUGCGGAAUUCCAGGUGUAGCGGUGAAAAUGCGUAGAUAUCUGGAGGAACACCGGUGGCGAAGGCGGCGUCCUGGACCAAUACUGACACUGAAAACGCGAAAAAGCCAGGGGGAGCAAAACGGG